AGUGAACGCUGGCGGUAGGCCUAACACAUGCAAGUCGAACGGCAGCACAGAGGAGCUUGCUCCUUGGGUGGCGAGUGGCGGACGGGUGAGGAAUACAUCGGAAUCUACUCUGUCGUGGGGGAUAACGUAGGGAAACUUACGCUAAUACCGCAUACGACCUACGGGUGAAAGCAGGGGAUCUUCGGACCUUGCGCGAUUGAAUGAGCCGAUGUCGGAUUAGCUAGUUGGCGGGGUAAAGGCCCACCAAGGCGACGAUCCGUAGCUGGUCUGAGAGGAGGAUCAGCCACACUGGAACUGAGACACGGUCCAGACUCCGGGAGGCAGCAGUGGGGAAUAUUGGACAAUGGGCGCAAGCCUGAUCCAGCCAUACCGCGUGGAUGAAGAAGGCCUUCGGGUUGUAAAGCCCUUUUGUUGGGAAAGAAAUCCAUCUGGUUAAUACCCGGGUGGGAUGACGGUACCCAAAGAAUAAGCACCGGCUAACUUCGUGCCAGCCGCCGCCGUAA
rnacentral:rRNA from 1 species